AGAGGAGAAUUAAACCUUUUACAGCAUUGCUCAAACUUUGGUUUUAGUCUCAAUCGCUAAGUUCUUCCUUCAUGACAACUCUGAGGGGGGUGUAUUUUAUUUUAACUCCCUCGUUUAAGCGAUAUAGAUGUUUGAAAUUCACGUGACGUCACAGUGUAAGCUGUGCUGUGUGUUGUGAGUUCGGCUUUAACCAGUUACAAGUGAACGCCUCAUGAAAUGGCUUACACCCACAUACCCGGUAAAUUACACACUUUGAUGUUCUGCUCCUUCUCCUGACGGUCACGGUAACGAUGUCUGCGCCUCCGUUUCUGUGGAUGUCCAGCGUGAGACACAACUUGAAUCCAACCAGACUGAACACUGACUCCAGGGACGGACGAGCCUGAAGGACACAGCUGUGAUGACCAUGUUCUGUCUCUUAUGACAAAGCAGAAAUAUAAAACACUGGGUUCUUAUCUAAAGUGUAUCAAAUCAGAUCUCCACCAUGUUGCUGCUGAGGACAUCAGGUGCUGCAGUUCUUCAUCUAUGAAGAUGAAAAAACUCACUGUUAAAGAAUGUUUUGUGUUGUGUAUGAAGCACAACAGAUUUCAGAUAGAACCGUUGUACUGUGGUCUGGGUUUGUAUCCUAAUGGUUAAAUGCACAUAUUUUAUGUCGCUUUUGAUAAAAGUACUGAAAGAAAUACAACAUUGUAAAAAUAGAUAAAAUGUCUUUCUACCUCAUCUGUAAUAUUCAAGGUGAUAAUCUCCCACAGAGCUAUUGAUAACAGUCCACAUCAAGUCUCUCCACUUCCCUCGGUGUGAAAACAUAAUUAUAUAAUUAAUUUGAGAACUGUUUACAACACUGAUGUGUGGAGAUUAUAAUCAUAUCUAAACUGUCAUAUUCACUGUAAAACUCCAUGACAGGCUAAAUAAACGCGGUGGGAAUAGUAAUGGUGGAUAUAAUAUAUUGUAACUUUACUAGAACAGACAGUGUUCAUAGAGAAUUUGAAAAUGAUGUACACUACCUAUUUCCUAAGAUGAAAUGAUUAUGAUCUGAUUAUUUUUAUGUUUCCUCUCAUUUUAUUAGGGACGGACGAGCCUGAAGGACACAGCUGUGAUGACCAAUUGACCAUGUUUUGUCUCUUAUGGCAAAGCAGAAAUAUUAAACACUGGGUUCUUAUCUAAAGUGUAUCAAAUCAGAAAGCAAAAGAUACACAUUGUUGUAAUAAGUUUUUAUUAUUUUAACCAACCAUAAUAAAGAUAGAAAUGAAUUGUUA